CCCCAACCCUGCUCCUAUGAAUCUCUGACUGUGAAAAAUCAGAGGCCAUAAAUAAGCUUUAUAAAGUCAAACCCUUUGUGUAUUUCACACAUUUCAAACACUGGGAAACUAAAACUACAAAACAGCAAAUAAUGAACCUUUAUGUUACACACACACACACACACACACACACACACACACACACACACACACACACACACACACACACACACACACACACACACACACACGUAAACAAACAUAACUCAGAACUCUGUUGUCAUGACAACUCUGUUUACAUCACUCCUUGCAACAGCCAAUAGAAAAAGAGUUAUCUCCUGCUUUCAUGUUCUAAAGCUCUUUCAUCUUCUCAUAGAGCUCACAGUGUUCACUCGUGUUCCAAUAUAAGCAGUUCUUCAGCAUCUUUUCUUCAUUGAUCGCUAUUUCUUUGACAUUUCUUUGACUCAUUUACUUUUGUUCAUUAUUAUCUGUAUAUUUCCUUCUCUGAGUGUAUUUUUCUGAGCAUCGAUGGAGCUUUUUCAAGAAGGCACCUAUCGUCCCAUCGGGGUGCUGUUCGACACUCCUGUUUAUAGACAGAUUUUUCAGAACUGUUGGCAUAUGCCCUCCUACAAAGUUCAUGUAGCUAUGGUGGCUGAACUCCUGAGGUUACAGAAGGAGAACCAACUUCUGUCUGAGGUGACUCCUGAAGACAUGGCUCGACACCUCCAUGUAAUGAGCAAACGCAGUCUAAGGGUGCAGCUGCUGGACUUUCAGCUGCAGGAGUACGAUAACGAUGAUGAUGAUGAGGUUAGGAUGCUUCUCAGCAUGGCGAGGGAGGUCAACGACAGCAUGAGGAUGAGGGAUAUUCAGCUGGAUGCUCAAAGGCUGAUCAGUGCUCCAGAGCUCAUGCCUCCAAACUUUAUAUCAGCAAAGAUGAAGCGAGAGGCAAAGGCCAUUGGGGAGGCGCUCACUGAGAGGCAUCAGCAAACCUCCUGCUCUGAACAUCUCCAGCAGCCCCGGGACGUGGUUUUGGACGUGGUUCCAAAGGUGCUUCAGGGCUUGUGGGUGCCUAAACCAAGGUUGUUCCUCACCAUGCCUUCCAUGAAGCUGGAUAAGAUGGCAGUUGGAGUCACCAAAGGGGUAGAAGAUGGUGUUCUAGCUGCUCUAGGCUCCACCACGCAUGAAGUCAGCAUGUCCCGCUCAACCAGGGAUGAGAUGAUCACCUCCAUCAUAAAGACACUUCAUGAAGCCUACCCCGAAGACAUCAGGAGGAAGAUGCUGAACUCAUUUUCUCCACAGUUGAUGCACCACGUUGCUGAAGUUACAGCUGAACAGAUCACAGCUUUGUUUCAGCCUCGGGGGAAACAAGAUGAUACCAAGUCCCUCCCUGAGGAGCCCACGUUCCUCCAUGAGGAGCCCACGACCCUCCAUGAGGAGCCAACGUCUCUCCCUGACGAGACCAAGUCCCUCCAUGAGGAGCCCACGUCUCUAACUGACAUGACCACGUCUCUAAAUGAGGAGCCCACGACCUUCCAUGAGGAGCCCACGUCACUCCAUGUGGAGCCCAAGUCUCUCACUGAAGAGCCCACGUCCCUCCAUGAGGAGCACACGUCCCUCCCUGACAAGACCACGUCUCUAAAUGAGGAGCCCACGUUCCUUCAUGAGGAGCCCACGACCCUCCAUGAGGAGCCCACGACCCUCCAUGAGGAGCCCACGUCCCUCCAUGAGGAGCCCACGUUCCUCCAUGAGCAGUCAGCAGUGAAGGUGGAGGAAUCUCGAAAGAAGAAAAAGAGUCGAAUGAACCGAUUCAUCAGGUGGAUGCAGAAGAGGCUCUUCACCCGCAUCCAUCCUCAGUGACACAAACUAUUUUUCCAACAAAUAUUUUAACAUUUGUUGAAAAAUGUGGAAACAUUAAUGACUUUAUGUUACAACCUGAUACAAUCACUUUGUAACAAUGUACCAUUUUUUGUGAAAAAAAUAAAAUAAAAUGUGCAAAACA
ensembl:lncRNA uncharacterized LOC114457884